UCUAGAAAAAUCUUUUUUGAUGUUGAUCUUUUUUCUCUAAGAAUAAUCAACCUGCAAAUCUGAAUGAAGUCAGGAUCACGAUCAACUCUUUGAUUAUUUUCUUGAUCUUUUCUUUUCUUCUUCUCUUGCUUUUCUUCUCUUGAUAAUGAAGUAAUCAAGAACUAAAAAAUCAACAAGCAAAGGGAUGCCUAAGCUCCUCUUGGGCAUGGAGAAGUGGGACGCCCAACAUCUUGGGCGUUGGACUUUAACGGGAG
rnacentral:lncRNA from 1 species